rnacentral:rRNA from 1 species
AUACGUAGGUGCCAAGCGUUAUCCGGAUUUACUGGGCGUAAAGGGCGUGUAGGCGGUCUUGCAAGUCAGAAGUGAAAUUCCUGAGCUCAACUCGGGCGCUGCUUCUGAAACUGCAGGACUUGAGUGCUGGAGGGGAUAGCGGAAUUCCUAGUGGAGCGGUAAAAUGCGCAGAUAUUAGGAAGAACACCGGUGGCGAAGGCGGCUAUCUGGAGAGUAACUGACGCUGAGGCGCGAAAGCGUGGGGAGCAAACAGGAUUAGAUACCCGGGUAGUCCACGCCGUAAACGAUGAAUACUAGGUGUAGGGGGUAUCGACUCCCUCUGUGCCGCAGUUAACACAAUAAGUAUUCCGCCUGGGGAGUACGGCCGCAAGGUUGAAACUCAAAGGAAUUGACGGGG